rnacentral:rRNA from 1 species
CGGGGAAUUUUGGACAAUGGGCGAAAGCCUGAUCCAGCAAUGCCGCGUGUGUGAAGAAGGCCUUCGGGUUGUAAAGCACUUUUGUCCGGAAAGAAAUCCUUGGCUCUAAUACAGUCGGGGGAUGACGGUACCGGAAGAAUAAGCACCGGCUAACUACGUGCCAGCAGCCGCGGUAAUACGUAGGGUGCAAGCGUUAAUCGGAAUUACUGGGCGUAAAGCGCGCGCAGGCGGUUUGCUAAGACCGAUGUGAAAUCCCCGGGCUCAACCUGGGAACUGCAUUGGUGACUGGCAGGCUAGAGUAUGGCAGAGGGGGGUAGAAUUCCACGUGUAGCAGUGAAAUGCGUAGAGAUGUGGAGGAAUACCGAUGGCGAAGGCAGCCCCCUGGGCCAAUACUGACGCUCAUGCACGAAAGCGUGGGGAGCAAACAGGAUUAGAUACCCUGGUAGUCCACGCCCUAAACGAUGUCAACUAGUUGUUGGGGAUUCAUUUCCUUAGUAACGUAGCUAACGCGUGAAGUUGACCGCCUGGGGAGUACGGUCGCAAGAUUAAAACUCAAAGGAAUUGACGGGGUCAUAGCUGUUUCC